CUCGCUGAUCCAUGGAUUUCUGUGUGACCAGAUUACACCUAUGGAGCUGCAGCCCCGACUACCACCAGCUUGCUCAUCCCUCUACUCAC